rnacentral:snRNA from 1 species
AUUCUUGCACAGUGGCAAUAUCGUAAGCAAUGAAGGUCUCUUGAGGUGUGAUUAUUGUUAGUUGAAAACUUUUACCAAUAAGGCGCCACGGUACCCGAGCGGUUAAGAGGCGAGACCUGUAAAGAUAAUGUGCGUUGUGGUACUGGGUUCGAUUCCCGGUCUUUAGGCCUUGGAUUUUAUU